ensembl:lncRNA
ACAGAGCACAGGAGCAGGAGGAGGCCAUAAGACCUGCCUUAGAUUUAAGGUAGCUGGCCUGUGACACGUUGUCCUAGGACGUGGAACACCAGCUGCACAGCAGCACUGUUUCUUCAUGUUUGUCAAGAGGAUGAGUUCUCUUCAGACUUUCUUUGUCAUUGGAAGAAGAACUGCAGAGACCAGAAACAAGCAGGUGAAACUGCAUUCCACAGUGACAUUAAGUGCAAGAAUGCUAUGACCAUUGUGAUGUCAUGCAGCUGCAUAAACAAGGUUUUGCACCCUGCUCAGGAUGAGCUGAGGUGUUGCUUUGCCUGAUGAUGUUCCCCGUCUAACUCCUCUGCAAAGCAGUUGUUUGUUGCAUCUAAGGAUUCAGCCUCAGCUUCAUAAUCUGAUAGGCCAUCCAUUCAAACUACAUGGGGGUAAUUGCAGUCUGCUGUUUCCUUUGUGUUUGCUGGCCUCCCAGUCUCUUUGCUGUCACUCAAGAUGUCAGGGACCUAUCAAGCUUAUUGUCAUGUCCUCAUUUCCACUCUACUUCCGGGCAGGCUUAUCAAGACCUAUGAGAUGGACUGAUGCCAGAUUGUUGGCAGCAGUGUGGAUAGCCUAGGUGCAGCUAAAUAGGGGCUGUCAGUAGAUGUUUUCACAGUACUACUUAUUGUUGUCUGUUAAAUUUAAACAGAAUAAAUGCUUUUGAGGGGACAAGGAAGAGAUAAAUGAGAGGGUAAACAGUGUAGAACAGGAGUAAUUUUCUGUCAAAUAGGUGCUGUGCUAAAGUCCAUGGACUACUUUGAUCAUAUACUCUUAAGAUAGUUAUUUUCAAGAGGCAUAUCAUACAGGGACUGUCCCGGUUGCUUAUUGAUUAUAUUUCAGUAGUUUCAUGUGACUACUUCAUGACUAAAUAUGUCCAUGCAAAUUUAUAUUGCCCUGUUUCAUAACUAACCAUAUUUAUAGAAACCCCAAUGUUCCCAAGGAGGACACAGUUUUUAGAAGCAUUAACACCCAUCUACCUGUUUCCCCAUAGCAAGUCUGCAGCUGGCCAACAAAGUUUCAGUUCUUAGUUGGAUUGACAACUCAGCCUAUUUCAGAAAGGAUGUCUUUUAAUUCCUGGAGCUAAAGAAUCAGUGCACUGUAAAUUAGUUAAUGGCUUUCAUAUCUCUUGGUAUAUGAUGUUCAGAGUAAGAAUGUACCCAAGAUGUCAUGUGAAAAAUCUUUUACAAAAUGUUGAUACCUGUGUACAAAGAAAAUUAGACUAGCUUUCUUGGCUUUCUUGCUCUCUGUCUAUAUAAAUGGAUAUAUUGCCCACAUAUGCCACGUGGUACUGUUUGAAUUAAAAAUUAGUAAUUCAAUUUUGUAAAUUCUAAUUCAGAUUUUGCCUACAUACACCUGCUGAUAGUUAUGACUGAUCACAGAAAACAAAUUGGCUGAAAAUAAACCUGAAUUAAAUUUAUUUUGAUACAAAACUAGCAUGAAAUGAUCUCUUUGAUUCUAUUUUAAUAUGAUUUUUUUUUCACUGAAAUUUAGAUACACUAGAAAUAAGUAAGAGUGAGAACCUGAUCUUCAUGUCAGUUUCUAUGCCUGAACAACUGAUUAAUAAUAUUACACAAUUAACAGUGUCCAAUGAAUAUACAGCUGAUAGAUAUAGGUAGAUAGAUACCAUAAGAAGUAAAAUACAGUGCUUUGUUUCUUAAAAAAUGACUAUACUCAAUAGCUGUUAAUGGUAUCACUACUUAGAUAUCACAGCUUUAAUUACAAUGCCGGUACACAAGUGUGCUCCUAUUUACAUGUCAAACCAUUCACAAAACGGUUUGUUAGAAAAACUGAAACUUAUUUAUACCAGUACCUAAAAUUAGGAACAUCUACUUUUUUUUCUGUUUGGGAAACAAAUGACUCUGUGAUUCUUUCAAGAUGUUUUUUUUUUAAUGAUGCAGGAACAGAUAUGUGCUUUAAGUUCUUAUUUUUA